AUGAAUCACUCUCCAUCUUCACCUUCAUCUUCCAAAACACUCACAGAAAAAAACUCUCCCCUGCUCUCUUCUUCUGAAAUCGCCAUCACCAUGCUUCAUCACAUAUUGCCUCUUCGUCUCAUUUAUCUGAAAUUCAUCCUCAUCGCGACUUCACAUACGUCGCACACACCUUCAAUAUCAGUCUUCACUGUAGCCU